GGUUCCUCGCGCGAUCGGUUCCUUGCAAUCCCUCCAGCCUUUCCACAGCGCUGUGUCUUCGGCUCGGCUGACCUCGCGACUGGGGAUAGACUCCAGGGCGGGCUCAAGGUCGCUGUCACAGGGUACGCUCUGCAGUUCCAACCCCGGAGUCUGAUCCUCUCUAUCCUCCAAUUUCUUUCUUAACUAUUUGGUGGAAGACCGGCCUUUCUGUGCCUCGAUGAAAGGUUGAUGAAGUUUGCACCAAAGCUAAUUUGGGCAUCUGCUGUUGAGUUGCAUUAGAUUGAGUUGAGGACAUUUUUUAGGCCCUUAUCUUUGUCAAUAUUUGAAUUAUGUUACACCGUCACAAAGGAGGGAGCUGAUAUUUUUGGGUAAGUUUUCAGAAGAACUCUCUGGUGGACAUCAUAUCCAGAAACAAGCUAAUAUGUGGUUACUGGAUAAUGCGACAGAAGGAAUUAUAAUUGAAUAAACCAGCAAGCUGGCCUUUUGUUGGUACGAACGAUACUCCUUUCUAUACUAUUGAUAGUUGUCCGGGUUUAACUGCACCUUCUAAGAGGAGGAAAUAAAAACAGAAUUGUACCCUUCUGGACC